GAUGAACGCUGGCGGCGUGCCUAAUACAUGCAAGUCGAGCGAACAGACCAGGAGCUUGCUCCUCUGACGUUAUCGGCGGACGGGUGAGUAACACGUGUAUAACCUACCUAUAAGACUGGGAUAACUUCGGGAAACCGGAGCUAAUACCGGAUAAUAUAUUGAACCUCAUGGUUCAAUAGUGAAAGACGGUUUUGCUGUCACUAAUAGAUGGAUCCGCGCCGAAUUAGCUAGUUGGUAAGGUAACGGCUUACCAAGGCGACGAUGCGUAGCCGACCUGAGAGGGUGAUCGGCCACACUGGAACUGAGACACGGUCCAGACUCCUACGGGAGGCAGCAGUAGGGAAUCUUCCGCAAUGGGCGAAAGCCUGACGGAGCAACGCCGCGUGAGUGAUGAAGGUCUUCGGAUCGUAAAACUCUGUUAUUAGGGAAGAACAAAUGUGUAAGUAACUAUGCACGUCUUGACGGUACCUAAUCAGAAAGCCACGGCUAACUACGUG
rnacentral:rRNA from 1 species